GCGCCAAGCCGGCCGGGACACAGGCGAGAUGCCCGUAUGGAGGUGGAGGAGAAGCUGUGCCAACUAAUAACAUCAGCAAGGCAAAGGAUCAGGCUGGGAGCCGCCGCAUCCCGGGAGGGAAUGGGGCCCAGACGAAGGCCUCUCGCCACAGAGGAACAUCUCGCUGCACCGCUGCGGCUGCUGCCAAGACCCCCACCCAGAGAGUAGAGGAAUUGACGUGGAUUAUCAAUAUGCUGUUGUG